GGGGAUUUAGCUCAGUGGCAUAAGCACCUGCCUUGCAAGCAGGCGGUUGUGAGUUCAGUUCAAUCCCCG
rfam:Cavia porcellus supercont2_64 genomic scaffold, whole genome shotgun sequence.